AUUGAACGCUGGCGGCAGGCUUAACACAUGCAAGUCGAGCGGGGGAGGUUGCUUCGGUAACUGACCUAGCGGCGGACGGGUGAGUAAUGCUUAGGAAUCUGCCUAUUAGUGGGGGACAACAUUCCGAAAGGGAUGCUAAUACCGCAUACGCCCUACGGGGGCAAGCAGGGGAUCUUCGGACCUUGCGCUAAUAGAUGAGCAUAAGUCGGAUUAGCUAGUUGGUGGGGUAAGGGCCUACCAGGGCGACGAUCUGUAGCGGGUCUGAGAGGAUGAUCCGCCACACUGGGACUGAGACACGGCCCAGACUCCUACGGGAGGCAGCAGUGGGGAAUAUUGGACAAUGGGCGGAAGCCUGAUCCAGCCAUGCCGCGUGUGUGAAGAAGGCCUUUUGGUUGUAAAGCACUUUAAGCGAGGAGGAGGCUCUUAAGGUUAAUACCCUUGAUGAGUGGACGUUACUCGCAGAAUAAGCACCGGCUAACUCUGUGCCAGCCGCCGCCGUAAUAC
rnacentral:rRNA from 1 species